rnacentral:rRNA from 1 species
UCAGCAUACGACAGCGGCGCGCAGCACCUGCUAGUCAGCCCCCCAGUGGUCUGGCGACACGCUCAAUGUGCGGAAAGAGCCUGGCUUCAGGCAAAUCCGCAGCCCGCAGCCCUUACCCGGCGGUCGGCUCAGAGACUCAAUGAGUGUGGGUUUGGCGCCUAGCCAAGCUUAAGAUAGAGCCCAGCCCGGCAUGCAAUUGCUGGGACCAACUGGAACCUGCGGAAGGAUCAUUA